AGAGAGGUGGCCGAGUGGUCGAAGGCGCACGCCUGGAAAGUGUGUAUACGGCAAAACCGUAUCGAGGGUUCGAAUCCCUUCCUCUCUG
rnacentral:tRNA from 8 species